GAUGAACGCUGGCGGCGUGCCUAAUACAUGCCAGUCGAGCGAACGGACGAGAAGCUUGCUUCUCUGAUGUUAGCGGCGGACGGGUGAGUAACACGUGGAUAACCUACCUAUAAGACUGGGAUAACUUCGGGAAACCGGAGCUAAUACCGGACAAUAUUUUGAACCGCAUGGUUCAAAAGUGAAAGACGGUCUUGCUGUCACUUAUAGAUGGAUCCGCGCUGCAUUAGCUAGUUGGUAAGGUAACGGCUUACCAAGGCAACGAUGCAUAGCCGACCUGAGAGGGUGAUCGGCCACACUGGAACUGAGACACGGUCCAGACUCCUACGGGAGGCAGCAGUAGGGAAUCUUCCGCAAUGGGCGAAAGCCUGACGGAGCAACGCCGCGUGAGUGAUGAAGGUCUUCGGAUCGUAAAACUCUGUUAUUAGGGAAGAACAUAUGUGUAAGUAACUGUGCACAUCUUGACGGUACCUAAUCAGAAAGCCACGGCUAACUACGU
rnacentral:rRNA from 1 species